rnacentral:rRNA from 1 species
AACGUAGGAGACAAACGUUAUCCGGAGUUACUGGGCGUAAAGGGCGUGUAGGCGGUUAGUUAAGUCUGGCGUGAAAGCUCUCGGCUAAACCGGGAGAGGUCGUUGGAUACUGGCUGACUAGAGGACGGUAGAGGAUAGUGGAAUUCCCAGUGUAGUGGUGAAAUACGUAGAGAUUGGGAAGAACACCAGUGGCGAAGGCGGCUAUCUGGACGGUUUCUGACGCUAAGACGCGAAAGCGUGGGGAGCAAACAGG